ACCCCACCCCCACUCCCUACGGGAUUCCCUGGUCUGAUGGGGGAGGCUCCCUUCUCCCCGUGAGAUCCUUCAAGUCGACGGGUGGGACGGGGAAGCCCAGUCUGUCUCCUGUCGGAGGCCUUGUCUGAUGGGGGUGUCCUGGACUCUGCCUUAAAAGGGGCCAGUCUGACAGGGGAGGCCCAUUCUCUCUAGCGAAUGCGGCCGAGCAGUGUAAUGGGUGAGGCCCAGCCCCUCCUACAGGACCCCAUCUCCCGGGGCCUCCCUGCUGAACCCCCAGUCUGGUUGGGAAUGCCGCUGGCCCCCGCUCUGUGAGAAGCUCCACUCUCUCGGGGGUAACCCACCUGCCUCUGUCGGAACCCCCGGUCUGAAGGGAGGAGGUUCGUCAUUCCUUGAAAGAAUGGUCAGUGUGGUGGGAGGCUGCGGCCCCGUCUGUGAGGCCCUCCAGUCAACAGGGGAAGCCAGACCCUCGCCCCAUGGGACUCCUUAGUCUGAGAGGGGAGGCCUCGUCUUUUCUCUGUGGGAAUCCCGGCCUGCUGGGACGACUGCCUGGCCCGCUGGUCUUGCACGCUGACUCUGGGUCUCCCUAGUCUGAUGAGUUUUCUCUUCACGUGACUCCGGGGUCUGAGGAUUCUUCCUACGGAAAUCCCGGCCUGAUGGGGGAGGCACAGCUUCCUGCUUGAAGGAACGCCCAGUCCAAUGAGGGAGGCUUAGUCCACCUCUGGACAAAGUGGCUAGUCUGACGGUGAGCCCGUUCCUUCCUUCCCCGUGGAUGACCCAGCCCGAGGGAGCCCCCAGCCGGGCGGAGGAGGCUUGUCCUUCCUUGGCUGAGGUGUCCAGAGUUCUCUCCUGAUUUCCUGCAGCCUCGACUCUGCCCUUCUCCAGCACGGAGAGGUGUUGGCUCUGAGCUGCCGGGUAGGGUCCUUGCCUGAGCUCAGGAUGCCUCCCAAGCUAACUGCAAAUUUCUCCCUUUCCUCCACCACCUGACAAAGCAGCUUCUCCUCAGCUUCACAAUAAUGACACCAUCUAGCACCUAGUGGGCGCCUGCUGUGUACCAAGCACUACGUGAAGAGCUUGCUCCUCUUGGCUCCUCACAGCAGCCCUCAGAUGGGAAAGGAGGGGCUUGGGGCUCUGAGCUUCCCUCUGAGGCAGGCUGUCCCUCAGGGUGACCAGACUGCCAGGCAGCCCCGGUUGAGGAAGGGUGUCUUCUCGUCCGUCCUCCACGAAGAGUCCUGGGGCUGCCUCUGAUUCGCCACGUGCUCGUCCCCAAACCAGUCGCUGGCUGGGAGGGGGAGGUGAACAUGCUGACUGGCCAGGCUAGGAGUUGGAGCUGGCUCAGCCCCCAGGGUCAGGGCUGGAGGACCCCCCAGGACCAGGAGCUGGAGGGGCGGGAGACCAGGGAGCGAGGGUCAGGGCGGGAGGACCCCCCAGGACCAGGAGCUGGAGGGGCG
rnacentral:lncRNA from 10 species